CUACAGGAGCUGAUAAUGAAUGAAGGAAUCAGUGUUUCACGGGACACAUUUUGGGAAAUGCUCCUUUCAGCCAAAAGAGUGUCCGGACCCUUGCACAGUUUCCAUUGCUGAUGGGACCUUCUGAGCACUGUCAACAUACCCACAGAGAAGGGGUUUCCAACUCACGUAAUCACACUCUCCAGUCAGAUGUGGAACAAGAAAAUACUUCCCAGAAAUGCAAAGAAGAAAACAAACCAAGUUUAUUGCCUUGGGUAACAUGAGUUCUUGCCCAUUUGAAAGUGGGAUCUUAAUCUUCCUAGAAGAUCUCUUUCUAGAUUUCUUCUAGAAAGAGAGGACAUGCCAUACCUUAGACAGUGUAGUUACGGGCAGGUGUUCUAUCACCUGGUACUGAGUCCCACUGCCAUCUACAAGAUUUAACAAUCAGUUGUAAGAACAUCUAACGUGAAGAAAUGUUUAAGAAUUCAAGGGGUCUCUUGGGAUUGGAGGUCCAUCCAUUCCUGGAAAGGUUGAGAUAAGUCACAUGAUGCCUUUUCUGUAACCCCAACAUUUCUCCAAGGAAAUCUUUGAAGUAAAAAGUUCACAAAGGAGUAUACUGAGGACUGCAGCGGAGACAGUGGGGGGGGGGCGGGGGGAUGUCCCAUGGUUCCCUUCACUGUAGAGGCUGUUGGGAACAGGGGUUCAGUAAAGCAGACUGGAAUUUCCAGUAUCUGGUGCGUGGAUAAUGUUCUUUCACCUUUGGAUGUGUCCUUAGGUGACUGGACAGUGAGUAGAAGGUCUCAAA